AACGAACGCUGGCGGCAGGCUUAACACAUGCAAGUCGAACGCAUCCUUCGGGGUGAGUGGCAGACGGGUGAGUAACGCGUGGGAAUCUACCCAUCUCUGCGGAAUAGCUCCGGGAAACUGGAAUUAAUAGCGCAGACGCCCUACGGGGGAAAGAUUUAUCGGGGAUGGAUGAGCACGCGGUGGAUUAGCUAGUUGGUGGGGUAAAGGCCUACCAAGGCGACGAUCCAUAGCUGGUCUGAGAGGAUGAUCAGCCACAUUGGGACUGAGAGACGGCCCAAACUCCUACGGGAGGCAGCAGUGGGGAAUAUUGGACAAUGGGCGCAAGCCUGAUCCAGCCAUGCCGCGUGAGUGAUGAAGGCCUUAGGGUUGUAAAGCUCUUUCACCGAUGAAGAUAAUGACGGUAGUCGGAGAAGAAGCCCCGGCUAACUUCGUGCCAGCCGCCGCAGUAACAC
rnacentral:rRNA from 1 species